GAGGGGGCGCUGCAGGGCGGCCGGACGAUGCCCACGUCAGGCCGCGGGCGCGAGAAAGCCUUCAGCCACACUCGCCGAUCCAAGGGAUGGCCAAGGAUCUGCCCCUGCCCAGGCCCACGCCCAGCCUGGGGGAAUCAUUGAGAGGGAAGGCUCGGCUUCCCCCGUCACCUCGUCCACCCUGAGCCACGUCCACCGCGCUGGGGUUGGCCCUCCCGCACACUCUGGUGGUUUCCUGUCUGCGAGCACGGAAGUAAACAAAGACCAUCCAACCAACAAGGACUCUCGCUCAGGAGUGAUGCCAUGGCAGGACGGGGAGAGCUUCAGAGUGGACAGGAGACCAUUUCCGGUGUGCCUGGCAGGAGGCUUCCAGCCUAGGGAUCAGGAGGCAGCUACCUGGACGCGGGACACCCCAUUUAAUUGGCCAGAGGAACAUAUUUGGCUUUUGCUUGGAAAAGAGGAUAAGUUGGAAACAGGUGCGACAUUCCUGUGUAACUCCAAAGGAGACAGUCCCAGGUCGGGGAGCUGAGGCAGCAGGCCUCAGAAGGAGCUGGGAGCGUGCUCAGGAAAGCCCCGGAGACAUGUGAAAGGCAGGCCCUCGAGGAAUCUGGGAGACAGCAGCCAGAGAGCACGGGAAGAGAAUAUUGUGGCUGC
rnacentral:lncRNA from 1 species